rnacentral:rRNA from 1 species
UCCGUAGGCGGGCUGAUAAGUCAGUGGUGAAAGCCGACAGCUUAACUGUCGAACUGCCAUUGAUACUGUCAGUCUUGAGUAUAUUUGAGGUAGCUGGAAUAAGUAGUGUAGCGGUGAAAUGCAUAGAUAUUACUUAGAACACCAAUUGCGAAGGCAGGUUACCAAGAUAUAACUGACGCUGAUGGACGAAGCGUGGGAGCGAACA